rnacentral:rRNA from 1 species
UGGGGAAUUUUGGACAAUGGGCGAAAGCCUGAUCCAGCAAUGCCGCGUGUGUGAAGAAGGCCUUCGGGUUGUAAAGCACUUUUGUCCGGAAAGAAAUCCUUGGCUCUAAUACAGUCGGGGGAUGACGGUACCGGAAGAAUAAGCACCGGCUAACUACGUGCCAGCAGCCGCGGUAAUACGUAGGGUGCAAGCGUUAAUCGGAAUUACUGGGCGUAAAGCGUGCGCAGGCGGUUUGCUAAGACCGAUGUGAAAUCCCCGGGCUCAACCUGGGAACUGCAUUGGUGACUGGCAGGCUAGAGUAUGGCAGAGGGGGGUAGAAUUCCACGUGUAGCAGUGAAAUGCGUAGAGAUGUGGAGGAAUACCGAUGGCGAAGGCAGCCCCCUGGGCCAAUACUGACGCUCAUGCACUAAAGCGUGGGGAGCAAACAGGAUUAGAUACCCUGGUAGUCCACGCCCUAAACGAUGUCAACUAGUUGUUGGGGAUUCAUUUCCUUAGUAACGUAGCUAACGCGUGAAGUUGACCGCCUGGGGAGUACGGUCGCAAGAUUAAAACUCAAAGGAAUUGACGGGGUCAUAGCUGUUUCCU